UAGCGGUCACCUCUUUAAUGAUUCCACCGGCGAAGAGCUUUAACCCAAAAGUCGCUAGCUGCUUUGCAGUCCACUAACAUAUGAGGCUCCUUAGCUUGAAGUAUGCGGGCAGUCGCGAUUUUUGCUUGUCACGAUGAUUUUUAGCAGCGGUAUCACCCUAACUUAAAUGCGUACUUUCUUGUGCGUCUUUGCCGUCAAGAGCACGUGCUCGCGUGGCAUCUUCUACUUCAAAGCAACUGUACAUAGCAGCAUUGUUAUCUGUGUCCCCAGAGAUUGGUUUCAAACCACCUAUAGACGGCUUCCACAGUAUAUCAGAUUCUUGCC